GCAAGCUCUAUCCGGCCCUAUAAGAGCCUGGGUUGCCCGUUAGGUCAUCCCACCACCCCAAUGGAAGGGAGAUCCCAUUGGGUGGUGGCCAGUAUUCUCCCAUCUGACCCUAUAAGAGCCUGGGGUCCCUUUUAGGGUCAUCUCCCCCUCCAGUGGAAGGGGCCAGCACCUCCAUCCAACCCUAUAAGAUCUGGGGGUCCCCAUUUAGGGUCAUCCCCCCCCCCAAUGGAAGGGAGAUCCUAUAGGGGGGUCCAGCACCUCCACCUGACCCUAUAAGAGCCUGGGGUCCCCUUUAGGGUCAUUCCCCCCUCCCCCAAUGGAAGGGAGAUCCUACAGGGGGGGCAGCACCUCCAUACGGCCCUAUAGGAGCCUGGGGGUCCCCUAUAGGGUCAUCCAUCCCCCCCAAUGGAAGGGGCCAGCAGCUCUAUCCGGCCCUAUAAGAGCCUUGGGGUCCCCCUUUUAGGGUCAU
rnacentral:lncRNA from 1 species